AUUUAGAAAAAUUACAUAAUCAUCAAAUUGAAAUGUGUUGCAUAGUCCCAUAUUUCUGCUGUGCCAGCUGCAAUGCCAGUCUACGUAUUGGAUGUAUUUUCUAUGCCGUUUGGUCAAUUGUUUGGAAAAUACUUCUAGCUUUGAGGUCAUACAUGGAUGCCACCACUCCUUAUGAUAAUCAAGCAGAGGGAGCUGGCAUUUUUAAGACUUGGGAGUCGAUUAGUUAUGCAUCGAUAUUCUUGAGCUUGAUUCUUCUGGCAGGCCCUAUUUGUUUGUUACUUGGCAUGAAGAUGAACAAUAAAGCACUGGUCGUUGUAUCUAUAGUAAUCACAUAUCUGACGGUGGUACUGUACAUUUUUAGUAUACUUUUCCUACCUUUAAUUGCCUUCGAAAUUUACAUGAUUAUUGUGCAGUAUUCAUAUUUAAAAACCGAAAUGUAGAGCAGUUGAAACCAUCUUGAGAUCUAGUGAUUACAAACUAAGGAAUUGUAAAGAGCCGACCUAUUUGUUAAAAGUCCACCAAACACAGACAGAUCUAGGACACAAAAUCUGGCAAAGGUAGAAAGCGUUAAAAACCAAAAUGAUGUUCGCAAAAAAAUAUGCUCAGAGUAUUUUUUAGGACCCUACUCCGUAUGAUGAUCUCAAACUGCAACUAUGCCAGACGUUACCUUUAUCAAUAACGCUUCCGCACUUAUCCUUCCUACACAUGUUAGACUUAGUGUCUACCAUAUCUGAUCCUACGCCAACUACUCUCGUUACUAGACCCGCCGCAUCGCUCAAUACUACAGCUAUUGGCCCUACAGAUACGGAUUUUAUUUUUACUGUGGGAUCCACUUCUGCUAGAUUGGGAGCGUCCAAUCAAUGGAUUCCAAAAUGUAUAUGCCCCAUUUGAAGUAGACAAUUCGCUUGGUAUAAGUUCGAAACAAAUAGCUGGCAUGGCCGCCGAUAUGGACAGAAGAAGCAAUGCCAAGUUUACAAGCCAUUUAACCAGUAUAGUCCGAUCCGCUUUCAAAAAGAAAUAGACAUUACAAUAGACAUAACAAAAAUAUGCUUAAAGUAAUUAUAAAAAUUUGAAAAAAUUAAGAAAACUAAAAAA